UUUUAUACGCCCGUCUAUGACGGGACGUAUUAUGGUAUACCCCGCGUCCGUCUGUCCGUCCGUCUGUCCGUCCGUCUGUCCGUCCGUCCGUCCGUCCGUCCGUCCGUCCGUCCGUCCGUCCGUCUGUUAAUGUCGUACGCUACGUCAAAUAUCCUUUGACAGAUUUUCUUCAAAUUUUAACACAAUCUUAAUAUUGAUAAACCCUGAUCCCCUUUCGUUUUUGACGGAAUUCUGAAUUGUCGUUCCAGAGUUAUGGGACUUUGUUCGUCAAAAUUUCGUGAUUUCAUUGAAUGUCCUACUGUAGCUCAAAUAUCCUUCGAUGGAUUUUUUUCAAAUUUCAACACAAUCUUAAUAUUGAUAAACCCUGAUCCCCUUUCGUUUUUGACGGAAUUCUGAAUUGUCGUUCCAGAGUUAUGGGACUUUGUUCGUCAAAAUUUCGUGAUUUCAUUGAAUGUCCUACUGUAGCUAUAUAAAAAUGUUAAAGUUGUUAUAACUUUGGUAUGCUUGGACCUAGAGUCUUGAAACUUGACAUGAAGGUUGGCCAGAACUAGUAAGUAACCACUGGACAUUUCAAGGUCAUUCAUUUGAAGGUCAAGGUCACUGUGACCUUGAAUGUAAAAAUGUUAAAGUUCUUAUUUCAUGUUAUAACUUUGGUAUGCUUGUACCUAGAGUCUUCAAACUUGAAAUAAAGAUUGGCCAGUACUAGAAGAUGACCACUGGUCAUUUCAAUGUCAUUCAUUUGAAGGUCAAGGUCACUGUGACCUUAAAUGUUAAAAUGUUAAAAUUGUUAUAACUUUGGUAUGCUUGGACAUAGAGUCUUCAAACUUGACAUGAAGGUUUGCAAGCACACUUAGAUGACCACUGGUCAUUUCAAGGUCAUUCAUUCUAAGGUCAAGGUCACUGUGACCUUAAAUGUUAUUGUUGUUCAUGUAUCCUACCGUAGCUCAAAUAUCCCCCGAUGGAUUUUUUAUACGCCCGUCUAUGACGGGACGUAUUAUGGUAUACCCCGCGUCCGUCUGUCCGUCCGUCCGUCCGUCCGUCCGUCUGUUAAUGUCGUACGCUACGUCAAAUAUCCUUUGACAGAUUUUCUUCAAAUUUUAACACAAUCUUAAUAUUGAUAAACCCUGAUCCCCUUUCGUUUUUGACGGAAUUCUGAAUUGUCGUUCCAGAGUUAUGGGACUUUGUUCGUCAAAAUUUCGUGAUUUCAUUGAAUGUCCUACUGUAGCUCAAAUAUCCUUCGAUGGAUUUUUUUCAAAUUUCAACACAAUCUUAAUAUUGAUAAACCCUGAUCCCCUUUCGUUUUUGACGGAAUUCUGAAUUGUCGUUCCAGAGUUAUGGGACUUUGUUCGUCAAAAUUUCGUGAUUUCCAUGCUCAUGUACUUAUAAAAUAAACCAUGUAUUCAAAUACAAAUAAACUGAAGUAAAAAAAUGA